rnacentral:rRNA from 1 species
GGUAACAUGAGAGCUUGCUCUUGAUGACGACCGGCGCACGGGUGCGUAACGCGUAUGCAACCUACCCACAACUGGAGCAUAGCCCGGAGAAAUUCGGAUUAAUACUCCAUAAUGCAGGGGUACCUCCUGGUACUAUUUGCUAAAGAUUUAUCGGUUGUGGAUGGGCAUGCGUCUGAUUAGUUUGUUGGUGAGGUAACGGCUCACCAAGACCACGAUCAGUAGGGGGUCUGAGAGGAUGAUCCCCCACACUGGCACUGAGAUACGGGCCAGACUCCUACGGGAGGCAGCAGUAGGGAAUAUUGGGCAAUGGGCGAAAGCCUGACCCAGCCAUGCCGCGUGAAGGAUGAAGGCCUUCUGGGUUGUAAACUUCUUUUAUAUAGGAAGAAAAAGGUCAUGCGUGACCAAUUGACGGUACUAUAUGAAUAAGCACCGGCUAACUCCGUGCCAGCAGCCGCGGUAAUACGGAGGGUGCAAGCGUUGUCCGGAUUUAUUGGGUUUAAAGGGUGCGUAGGCGGUCCGUUAAGUCAGUGGUGAAAUCCAGCAGCUCAACUGCUGAACUGCCAUUGAUACUGGCGGACUUGAGUACGGACGAGGUAGGCGGAAUUUAUGGUGUAGCGGUGAAAUGCAUAGAUACCAUAAAGAACACCGAUAGCGAAGGCAGCUUACUAGACCGUAACUGACGCUCAGGCACGAAAGCGUGGGGAGCGAACAGGAUUAGAUACCCUGGUAGUCCACGCCGUAAACGAUGAUCACUCGAUGUGUGCAAUACACCGUACGCGUCCAAGCGAAAGCGUUAAGUGA